ACCGGUCCUCGGUAGUGGCCCCCGGGCCGGCCGGCACACAGAUGAUGCUGGCUCCCCCGGGCGCUUCGAUCGAAGACCGGA
rfam:Asanoa hainanensis strain CGMCC 4.5593 genome assembly, contig: Ga0104436_118